rnacentral:rRNA from 1 species
CCCUACGGGGCGCAGCAGGCGCGAAAACUUUACAAUGCUGGAAACAGCGAUAAGGGGACCUCGAGUGCCAGGUUACAAAUCUGGCUGUCGUGAUGCCUAAAAAGCAUUGCAUAGCAAGGGCCGGGCAAGACCGGUGCCAGCCGCCGCGGUAACACCGGCGGCUCGAGUGGUAACCGUUAUUAUUGGGUCUAAAGGGUCUGUAGCCGGCCGGAUAAGUCUCUUGGGAAAUCUGGCAGCUUAACUGUCAGGCUUUCAGGAGAUACUGUCUGGCUCGAGGCCGGGAGAGGUGAGAGGUACUUCAGGGGUAGGGGUGAAAUCCUGCAAUCC